CUUCUCUUCUUCCACCUCUACUGUCCGGUUGCACUGGGAAAGCCAGGUAUCUGUCUUUUUGUUGUGAAAAGAAAACGGGAAAUCGCCUUCCCAAAUUUUAGAAGCUGCCCCUCUCGGCGGAGAGGUUUGAAAGAACGAGCAAACGGAUCAAAGAAGGGAGAGAAAUGAAGAAAAUAAAGACGGCACUCCAGCUUACAGGAUCUAUAAGCCGUGUUUCCUGAAAAGAUAAAUGAUUUCCUAAUGAAUGGAUCCUUUAGGCCAUAAAAAAUCCAUUUAUUUUCUUUUGGAUUUGAAUAGAGGGGAUUUGCAUUUUUUCCAGUGCAGCCCCAUUUAAAUUAAAAUGCAGAGCAUGA
rnacentral:lncRNA from 1 species